rnacentral:rRNA from 1 species
GACGAACGCUGGCGGCGUGCCUAAUACAUGCAAGUUGAGCGAUGAAGAUUGGUGCUUGCACCAAUUUGAAGAGCAGCGAACGGGUGAGUAACGCGUGGGGAAUCUGCCUUUGAGCGGGCGACAACAUUUGGAAACGAAUGCUAAUACCGCAUAACAACUUUAAACAUAAGUUUUAAGUUUGAAAGAUGCAAUUGCAUCACUCAAAGAUGAUCCCGCGUUGUAUUAGCUAGUUGGUGAGGUAAAGGCUCACCAAGGCGAUGAUACAUAGCCGACCUGAGAGGGUGAUCGGCCACAUUGGGACUGAGACACGGCCCAAACUCCUACGGGAGGCAGCAGUAGGGAAUCUUCGGCAAUGGACGAAAGUCUGACCGAGCAACGCCGCGUGAGUGAAGAAGGUUUUCGGAUCGUAAAACUCUGUUGGUAGAGAAGAACGUUGGUGAGAGUGGAAAGCUCAUCAAGUGACGGUAACUACCCAGAAAGGGACGGCUAACUACGUG